rnacentral:rRNA from 1 species
UACAGAGGGUGCGAGCGUUAAUCGGAAUCACUGGGCGUAAAGGGCGCGUAGGCGGCGCGAGUAGUCAACGGUGAAAGCCCGGGGCUCAACCCCGGGUCGGCCGUCGAUGCUCUCGUGCUUGAGCACUGUAGAGGCAGGUGGAAUUCCGGGUGUAGCGGUGGAAUGCGUAGAGAUCCGGAAGAACACCGGUGGCGAAGGCGGCCUGCUGGGCAGUAGCUGACGCUGAGGCGCGACAGCGUGGGGAGCAAACAGG